GUGGGGAAUAUUGGACAAUGGGCGAAAGCCUGAUCCAGCCAUGCCGCGUGUGUGAAGAAGGUCUUCGGAUUGUAAAGCACUUUAAGUUGGGAGGAAGGGCAGUAAGUUAAUACCUUGCUGUUUUGACGUUACCGACAGAAUAAGCACCGGCUAACUUCGUGCCAGCAGCCGCGGUAAUACGAAGGGUGCAAGCGUUAAUCGGAAUUACUGGGCGUACAGCGCGCGUAGGCGGUUUUGUAAGUUGGAGGUGAAAUCCCCGGGCUCAACCUGGGAACUGACUCCAAAACUGCAUGACUAGAGUACGGUAGAGGGUAGUGGAAUUUCCUGUGUAGCGGUGAAAUGCGUAGAUAUAGGAAGGAACACCAGUGGCGAAGGCGACUACCUGGACUGAUACUGACACUGAGGUGCGAAAGCGUGGGGAGCAAACAGGAUUAGAUACCCGAGUAGUCC
rnacentral:rRNA from 1 species